rnacentral:rRNA from 1 species
GACGAACGCUGGCGGCGUGCUUAACACAUGCAAGUCGAACGCUGAAGCUCAGCUUUUGUUGGGUGGAUGAGUGGCGAACGGGUGAGUAACACGUGAGUAACCUGCCCCCUUCUUUGGGAUAACGCCCGGAAACGGGUGCUAAUACUGGAUAUUCACUGAUCUUCGCAUGGGGGUUGGUGGAAAGGUUUUUUCUGGUGGGGGAUGGGCUCGCGGCCUAUCAGCUUGUUGGUGGGGUGAUGGCCUACCAAGGCUUUGACGGGUAGCCGGCCUGAGAGGGUGACCGGUCACAUUGGGACUGAGAUACGGCCCAGACUCCUACGGGAGGCAGCAGUGGGGAAUAUUGCACAAUGGGCGAAAGCCUGAUGCAGCGACGCCGCGUGAGGGAUGGAGGCCUUCGGGUUGUAAACCUCUUUCGCUCAUGGUCAAGCCGCAACUGUGGGUUGUGGUGAGGGUAGUGGGUAAAGAAGCGCCGGCUAACUACGUGCCAGCAGCCGCGGUAAUACGUAGGGCGCGAGCGUUGUCCGGAAUUAUUGGGCGUAAAGGGCUUGUAGGCGGUUGGUCGCGUCUGCCGUGAAAUCCUCUGGCUUAACUGGGGGCGUGCGGUGGGUACGGGCUGACUUGAGUGCGGUAGGGGAGACUGGAACUCCUGGUGUAGCGGUGGAAUGCGCAGAUAUCAGGAAGAACACCGGUGGCGAAGGCGGGUCUCUGGGCCGUUACUGACGCUGAGGAGCGAAAGCGUGGGGAGCGAACAGG